CGAAUAUGCCCGUGUAAUAUAAGAAAUAAUUUCUAUAAAAGGCUGUUAUAGAGUAACGUUACGUGUAACGUUAUUAAUUUAAAUUUGAUUUAUAGAACAGGCUGAAGUAAUGACCUCAAAUUAAUUUUGUAAACAUCUGGUGAAAUAACACAUCUAAUAUAACAGACACUUCUGUGUCUGUGUUCUGAGACACACCAUAUGAUUCAUUUAUCCAUGAGAUUUAUCCAUUUAUCCAUUAUAUGAUUAAUUCGAGAAGGAAAGCUAUGAGAAACAUCUGUCUUAGUAAAUUGUCAGAUGUUAAUAAAGUUUAGUUUUUAAAUAGCACAAGUUGGACCAUAGCAUAAAAAUUGCUCAAUAAUUAAGGCUCUCCUAAAGACCCAAACUCCAACUGAUGUUUAUUAGUAACUGAUGUGAUAAAUGUUUCCGAAGGUCAAUAUAUUAUUUUGUGUUCCACAGAAGAAAGUAAUGCAGGUUUGGAAGAAACAACAGUAAAUUAUGACAGCAUUUUCAUUUUUGUGUGAACUUUCCAUUUAAUCAACAUGUCUAAAUAAACCGAAAGACAAAUCACACAUAAAACACUAGGUUAUGAUUAUAUUAAAUGUAAACAACUUCUUUUCAUAUUUACAUUUUUUGUUACUGAGAUGAACUCUUCUAUCUAGUGUCAGAACGCAAUACAGUAUUUACACGGUAUAACAAGUGGCACUUCAUUAUCUUCUAAGUUACCUUCAAACGUGUAUUUUUCCUUCUUCUUACUUCUAACUUAAAAAUGUAAAAGUCUAAUCAUAUAAAAAUUUACAUUUUCUUUUAAAAAGGAUUCUAUGGAUGUUUGUACACUGCAAUAAAACCUCCUUAUCCUACUGUCAGAAAUGUUCAGAUUUCGAUUGCUAACACACUGAAAUUAAAAAUAAAGUUAGUGAAAAAUAAUAGUUAGUGAAACGCUGAUAUUCAAGGAGCAAACCUCAGCCCAGAUCUGCACAAGCCUCACGUUUUGCAAAUUACUACACACACUUUUCUACAUUAGACACAGAAAUCCAACAUGAUGUCACCUCUUUGACGUUUGAAAAUUUCCAAAAUACCACACUUAUGAACCAAUUGUUCAAACACGGCCAUCAAAUGUGCUGCUUAAUUGUAAACUCAACCAUCAGUUAAGCAUUAUCAAAAGGUGAGUUUAACUGUCUUCAACAAAAAUGGAAGGCAUGCAACGUUGCAGUAAGAGGAAGAAGGAGAGGGAGGAUGAGAGGAAGAGAUUGACCUGGUCACCUGGAGGAGGAUGUGGUAAAAAAAA